CUGUUGUAUGAAAAGAAGAAAAUUAGCACUCCCCUUAACAGUGAUGCAAGUGGUCCUCUGGCCUAACAGCAAACAUACGGGGAGCUCUUACUUCAGGCAGCCUUCUCUGCUCUUGCU
rnacentral:ncRNA from 1 species